AUACAGAGGGUGCGAGCGUUAAUCGGAAUUACUGGGCGUAAAGCGCGCGUAGGCGGUUAUUUAAGUCAGAUGUGAAAUCCCUGGGCUCAACCUAGGAACUGCAUCUGAAACUGGGUAACUAGAGUUUAGGAGAGGGGAGUAGAAUUUCGGGUGUAGCGGUGAAAUGCAUAGAGAUCCGAAGGAAUACCAGUGGCGAAGGCGACUUCCUGGCCAAAAACUGACGCUGAGGUGCGAGAGCGUGGGUAGCAAACGGGAUUAGAAACCCUAGUAGUCC
rnacentral:rRNA from 1 species